AGUGAACGCUGGCGGUAGGCCUAACACAUGCAAGUCGAACGGCAGCACAGUAAGAGCUUGCUCUUACGGGUGGCGAGUGGCGGACGGGUGAGGAAUACAUCGGAAUCUACUUUUUCGUGGGGGAUAACGUAGGGAAACUUACGCGAAUACCGCAUACGACCUACGGGUGAAAGCAGGGGAUCUUCGGACCUUGCGCGAUUGAAUGAGCCGAUGUCGGAUUAGCUAGUUGGCGGGGUAAAGGCCCACCAAGGCGACGAUCCGUAGCUGGUCUGAGAGGAUGAUCAGCCACACUGGAACUGAGACACGGUCCAGACUCCUACGGGAGGCAGCAGUGGGGAAUAUUGGACAAUGGGCGCAAGCCUGAUCCAGCCAUACCGCGUGGGUGAAGAAGGCCUUCGGGUUGUAAAGCCCUUUUGUUGGGAAAGAAAAGCAGCAGGUUAAUACCCCGCUGUUCUGACGGUACCCAAAGAAUAAGCACCGGCUAACUUCGU
rnacentral:rRNA from 1 species